GGGCCCAUAGCUCAGCGGUAGAGCAGCCGGCUCAUAACCGGUCGGUCCCUGGUUCGAAUCCAGGUGGGCCCACCA
rnacentral:tRNA from 1 species